AAUAUUGAUACGUGAACUAAUGAUGCCAACCUGUCGUUUACGCGUCCUCCCUCAUGUAACCUUUAGGUCACAACAGUAACUGGUCGGCUUUAAUCAGGAGAGGCGCGGUAAUGCAGCUAGCUGUAGAACUCGCAGUAGCAUUUCUUGUAACUAAUAAGUACUCCCUAUGUAAACUAAUAUAAAAAUGUUUAAAUUACUAAAAUAGUGUUUUAAAUGUUUUUAUAUUAGUUUACGAAUAGAGUAGUAAUUUGCAAUAUACAUGAAGUAACUUGGUUUCAGUUCAGAACGUACCAUGGGAGAGGGAGAGCUGAGCUUUGAUUUCUCCAACGAUCGAGCUGAUCGAUGCAAGAUAUAUGGAGUACUCCAUGCCUGCUAAAAACGUAAUGUUGGCUUGGGAGCCGUUCAGCUAAAAACUAAAGAGUAUUUUGGAUAUUAUGC
rnacentral:lncRNA from 1 species